AAACCAGCACCUCAAGUGGUCAGGAUGAUUAUUGGGCCUAAAGCAUCCGUAGCCUGCUCUGUAAGUUUUCGGUUAAAUCUAUGUGCUCAACAUAUAGGCUGCCGGAAAUACUGCAGAACUAGGAAGUGGGAGAGGUAGACGGUACUCCGUAGGAAGUGGUAAAAUGCUUUGAUCUCUCGAUGACCACCUGUGGCGAAGGCGGUCUAUCAGAACACGUCCGACGGUGAGGGAUGAAAGCUGGGGGAGCAAACCGGAUUAGAAACCCGAGUAGUCC
rnacentral:rRNA from 1 species